rnacentral:rRNA from 1 species
UACAGAGGUCUCAAGCGUUGUUCGGAUUCAUUGGGCGUAAAGGGUGCGUAGGUGGCGCUGUAAGUCGGGUGUGAAAUUUCGGAGCUUAACUCCGAAACUGCAUUCGAUACUGCGGUGCUUGAGGACUGGAGAGGAGACUGGAAUUCAUGGUGUAGCAGUGAAAUGCGUAGAGAUCGGGAGGAACAUCAGUUGCGAAGGCGGCUCUCUGGACCAGUACUGACGCUGAGGCACGAAAGCGUGGGGAGCAAACAGG